ensembl:miRNA cin-mir-4001f cin-mir-4001f
UGGAACUUACUAAUGAACAGGCUUGUGUACAGCUUAGCACUAUUUUCGAAUGUUGGUGCUAGCUCGUUGAUAUAAACAGCCUGUUGUAAGUAAGCUCCA